UGGGGAAUAUUGCACAAUGGGGGAAACCCUGAUGCAGCGACGCCGCGUGAAGGACGAAGUAUUUCGGUACGUAAACUUCUAUCAGCAGGGAAGAAAAUGACGGUACCUGACCAAGAAGCCCCGGCUAACUACGUGCCAGCAGCCGCGGUAAUACGUAGGGGGCAAGCGUUAUCCGGAUUUACUGGGUGUAAAGGGAGCGUAGACGGCGUCGCAAGUCUGAUGUGAAAACCCGGGGCUCAACCCCGGGAGUGCAUUGGAAACUGUGGUGCUAGAGUGUCGGAGAGGCAAGUGGAAUUCCUAGUGUAGCGGUGAAAUGCGUAGAUAUUAGGAGGAACACCAGUGGCGAAGGCGGCUUGCUGGACGAUGACUGACGUUGAGGCUCGAAAGCGUGGGGAGCAAACAGG
rnacentral:rRNA from 1 species